rnacentral:rRNA from 1 species
UAGAGGAAGUAAAAGUCGUAACAAGGUCUCCGUUGGUGAACCAGCGGAGGGAUCAUUACCGAGUUUACAACUCCCAAACCCCUGUGAACAUACCUAUACGUUGCCUCGGCGGAUCAGCCCGCGCCCCGUAAAACGGGACGGCCCGCCCGAGGACCCUAAACUCUGUUUUUAGUGGAACUUCUGAGUAAAACAAACAAAUAAAUCAAAACUUUCAACAACGGAUCUCUUGGUUCUGGCAUCGAUGAAGAACGCAGCAAAAUGCGAUAAGUAAUGUGAAUUGCAGAAUUCAGUGAAUCAUCGAAUCUUUGAACGCACAUUGCGCCCGCCAGUAUUCUGGCGGGCAUGCCUGUUCGAGCGUCAUUUCAACCCUCAAGCUCAGCUUGGUGUUGGGACUCGCGGUAACCCGCGUUCCCCAAAUCGAUUGGCGGUCACGUCGAGCUUCCAUAGCGUAGUAAUAAUACACCUCGUUACUGGUAAUCGUCGCGGCCACGCCGUAAAACCCCAACUUCUGAAUGUUGACCUCGGAUCAGGUAGGAAUACCCGCUGAACUUAAGCAUAUCA